rnacentral:tRNA from 1 species
GUCUGAUAGCUCAGUUGGCUGCAGCAUGAUGCUGAUAAUGCCAGGGUUGCAGGUUCGAUCCCUGUUAGGGACA